rnacentral:rRNA from 1 species
GGGCUUGGUCGCAAGACCAGGCCAGUGGCGUAAGGGUGAGUAAGGCGACGGCAACCAACCCCAUGGUUGGGCAUAGCCGCGGGAAACUGCGGGUAAUUCCCAGCGAUGCUCGCAUCGGGCAUCCGAAGCGAACCAAAGUUCAGGCGCCGUGGGACGGGCCGUCGUGGUAUUAGGUUGUUGGCGGGGUAAUGGCCCACCAAGCCUCUGAUGCCUACCGGGCGUGCGAGCGUGGCCCGGCACACUGGGACUGAGACACUGCCCAGACUCCUACGGGAGGCUGCAGUCGAGAAUCUUCGGCAAUGGGCGCAAGCCUGACCGAGCGACGCCGCGUGGAGGAUGAAGGCCUUCGGGUUGUAAACUCCUGUCGAGGGGGAGGAAGGCGCAAGCUUGACCGAUCCCUGGAGGAAGCACGGGCUAAGUUCGUGCCAGCAGCCGCGGUAAGACGAACCGUGCGAACGUUAUUCGGAAUCACUGGGCUUAAAGCGCGUGUAGGCGGAUGGGGACGUCGGUUGCUGAAAGCCCCCGGCUCAACCGGGGAACGGGCGCCGAAACGCCCCGUCUCGAGGGACGUAGGGGGACCUGGAACUUCCGGUGGAGCGGUGAAAUGCGUUGAGAUCGGAAGGAACGCCCGUGGCGAAAGCGAGGUCCUGGACGUCUACUGACGCUGAGACGCGAAAGCUA